rnacentral:rRNA from 1 species
GAAGUUGGAGUCGCUAGUAAUCGCAGAUCAGCAACGCUGCGGUGAAUACGUUCCCGGGCCUUGUACACACCGCCCGUCACGUCAUGAAAGGCGGUAACACCCGAAGCCGGUGGCCUAACCCCUUGUGGGAGGGAGCCGUCGAAGGUGGGAUUGGCGAUUGGGACGAAGUCGUAACAAGGUAGUCGUACCGGAAGGUGCGGCUGGAUCACCUCCUUU